ensembl:lncRNA
AUUGAAUACAGCCUCCAUAGCCACUGCCGCUGAAAUAGAAAUUGAAUGCAGCCUCCAUAGCCACUGCUGCUUAAGUAGACAUUGAAUUCAGCCUCCAUAGACACUGCUGCUUAAGUAGACAUUGAAUGCAGCUGAGGCCAAUUCCGCCUCCACCUGGCACCGUCCCGGAGCCACUCCCCAUCUCUGCCCCCGAAACCACAGUGCCAAACCACAAACUGCUUAUGUGUUUUCAAUUGAAUUCCACACAUUUUCUUUGUGGCGUACAUGUUGUUUUCACAUUACAUCUCAACGCUCAUAAAGACUUCCAAUCAUUAUUAGUUGUAUUUAGCUAUUUUUUUUCUUUAGCAUAUUCUUUGUUUAGUAUUGUGCAUGCGGAUGCUGUUGUGAAUAAUGUAAGACUUUGUCUAGUUUGUAUUUCUGUGUGGUCCUUUCAAUUAGCUGUCUGGCUAACACUGAUGUUACUAUGGGCGACUGUGGGCUAUUAUAUAAUUGUUCAUCAUUUAAUUAAUGGAAACUACAAGGUCCACUCAGGGGUUAGCUUCCCAGCAUUUUGUGAUAUUCUCAUAAAAUGUAUUAUGCAUCGGAACUUUAAAGCUUUUAGGUCUUGAUAUGAUUCAAUUGAUCUAACGAGACCAUAAGAACAUCAUUGAUGCAGUUAGUGAUUCAUAGUAGUCCCUUUCCUCAUUUCAUCAUCGCCCUCAACACAUCAAUCUAGUGCCGUUAGGCACUGUUUCCAUGACAACCAGUGAAGUGCAGCGUUUUAGCUGCCUCCAUUCUAAAGAUAGAAGGCUUACAAACCCAACAUUUGGCCAUUGUCAGUGAUCAUUUGAAAUACAGCAUGACUGACAGGAAGUAUGUUUAAGGACUGAACAUAUCUGAUCACCCCCACAGGCCUGUGUGACAGAUUAGAGGCCUCAAGUCUAAAGCUCACUGAAUCCACAACAUAAUUUGAUGGCCCUUGAACAAUGUGCUUGACUGGGAAAAUGUACAUUGUUAUACUCCCAUCAAUACUAUUUGAAAAUGAUUGAUAGUAUUUUUUGUUACUAUAUAUGCUUCUUUGAUUUUUUGUAAUGUUUUUUUGAAUGUCCAUGUGUCUGAGUUGGACUCUCAAAUCAAGGAUGUCUUUGUUUGUCUCACAGCGCUGACCUUGGAAAGUGAACGGUGUAGCAGGAGUGUAACCGCCUCCCCUGGUGUUUCUGUAUCUCUAUUAGUUUUUAAUAGCGGUUUUGAUGUCUUCCAGUCAGGCUUUCGACGGCACCACAGUACUGAAACUGCUCUUUUCAACUGCUGGUUUUCAACGAGAUCCACUUAAAUACAGACAAGGGCAGAAUUUCAGUCUUUAGUAUUACUGGAUCUCAGCACAUUUGACACGGUCGACCAUGACAUACUACUGGAUAGACUAAUCAACUGGGUAGGACUCUGGCACAGCACUUAACCGGUUUGAAUCCUAUUUGAAAGACCGAAAAUACUUUGUGUCUGUAGCUAAUUACACAUCCGAGCUAAAGAAAAUGAUAUGUAGUGUUCCCCAAGGUUCAAUACUGGGGCCCCUUCUGCUCAACAUCUACAUGCUUCCAUUGGCUCAGAUUAUGGAAAACAACUAAAAAGACCUCGGAACAAGGGAGGUGACAGACCCAACGGUGAAGGGGGCCAUCCUCGCCUACUAUGGGCACAAUUUAGCCGGCCGCGCCCAGCGGGUCCAUGAUUGGGUGUACGAACCCCAGGGUCCCGUGGGAGCCAGGUGGUACGCUUGGGGAGGCUUACACGCAGCUGGUUGGUAACCGGGGAGGGUCCAGCUGCCAUCGACCGUGUCGUUAUUGACCGCUGCAUCAGAGCCCUGCCUCCCGACGCCAAGCGAUGGGCAGCCCCGAACCACCCACGGUCAGUAGACGAGCUGAUUAACCUACUGGAGAACCACCGGGUUGGCCAGCAGAUGAUGGUAGGGACAAGCUCUACUCCCCGAAGAUGUGAGGUUCUGACUCCGGCCCAGUCACCGACAACCCCUCCUCGCCCGGCUCGGAGAACCCUGCCACGUCCACUACCCGACAGGUCUGAGGGGAGGUGUUUUUGGUGUGGCCAGUUAGGACAUCUCGCCCGGAAGUGGCCUGCUGGCGAUGUGCCCAUGCCCUCCACCAGCACUGAGGAACUGCACCGCCCAGGGAGGUGCCUCAUGACUACCUGUUGGGCUCCCAAUAUGGCAUUUUUGCAUUUGUUUCAUCAUGUGUCUUACCAAGCUGACCAAGGCAACCAAGCUGAAAUGUGAUACUUGAUUUUUCUGUCAAUUAACGAUACAAUUUUGCUGAGCUGCAGUUUUUAAAUGCUAAAUAUUCUUAUGUGUUUAAAAUCUAAAGAAAAUAUCAAUCAAAAAUGUCAUGUUUAUGACUUUUUCAAAAAGACAGAUUAAAGAAAUAAACAAAAACCCAUUAAGGAACAGAGGAUACUGCCAAACAAAUUACACCUGAUAGUCAAAAACCGAAACAAAUACUUUAUUAACAAACUUUAAUUCGUAUUUUGCAGUUUUUGUAAAACAAUAUAUUUUACUCUCUCAAAUUUGUAAUAUUUUAUUGCAUUAAUCAACGUUAGUUGUUCAUGGAGCUACAAGGACUGGCCGUCUUCUGCUCCCUUCUCGUUCCGCUGCCAGUUGUAGCCACCUCUUCAUGAACAUUUCCACCUCGCGUUCAGAAGGACUCGAAGUCAGUGGGUUCUUCCUUACAGCAGCUGAUGUGGAAAAAAGUUUCUGUUGGUACAAACAAAUAAAAUCUGAUCUAUGAGGAGCAUUUACCGAUUACAGCGGUCUUCAGUUUUAGGGAAGCCAUGGAUGUUUUCCCAUUUACGAGGGUGUUUGAUAUUGCGUGCUUCAUUAGGAUAAACCCCAAAACGAUACAUGAAUGCUCUACCACAGGGGGGGCCACACUUUUCCGACUCGUGACGUACUUUUCAACUAACCUGUCGAUAUGAGUCGAUAUGAAGAACACAAGGAGCCUCUUGUCUGUCAGAAGGAGGAAACCGUCACAAGCGUCUCACUCAUUCUGGCUCGUUACCUUACUGGAGUCAGCCUGCGUUGCUUUGAGAGGACAGGAAACCGUCCGUUAGUAAGCGAGGACGUCAUUUUUUUAUUGAUGGCACGUGAUCAACUAGUGCUGCCUUUGAGAUCGACUGGUCGAUCGCGAUGGACGUAUCUAGCAGCCCCGCUGUAGCAAUUACUGUUUGGAGUUUCAAAUAGGGCCUCGUGACUCCAGGAUGGCACACUGGCUGAUCAGGGGGCUGUUGCACGAAACCAGGAUAAGGGAUUAAGCCGGGAUAUUCUCCGUUAUCCUGGAUGAAUUUAGCUUGGACUUGGUUGCACAAAAGCAGGUUGAAUUAAGCCCAGUCAAGUAACCAUGAUAAUUUAUUCUUUGCAGCUCGCCUGCUCCAGACCGGGCCAACAGCCGGGCCAACAGCCGGGCCAACAGCCGGGCCAACAGCCGGGCCAACAGCCGGGCCAAGAUUAAUCUUGGAGUCUCGUGUUAAAUCAGCUGCUGCUCAGUUAUUCCGUUGUCUUCUGGAUGUGUUCUGUUUUAUUUCCAUUAACAUGCAUUGCUUGUCACUAUUGCUGUCACUAGUUUGAUUUUAAACUCUACUAUUGUAGUUGUUUAGAUCAGUGUCCACAAGUCUUUUUUACCUCACGGACCGUUUUCAUGUCAGACAAAAUUUCACGGACCGGUCAAGAAGGUCCGGCAGAUAAUAAAGAUUUCGAAAUAACGGGGUUAGUAGUAGAUGCGGGCAGACCGACUGAUUGAGACGUGCUGUCAGAUGUGAGAGGACCAGACCAGCGUGAAGCAUCUCACCAUCCCACAGAUGUCUGUAUGGCGCUGAGCUUUUUUUGCAAACGGCAUGUUUUAUGUGCCGAAACUGUAAAUAAAGGCACUAUUUGCCGCACUGUCAGAAGUGUGUGUUGUUACCUUCCCUGCACAGAAGAAGGUGUCACGUCAAAGAGGAUUUCCACAUAUUCCGUACAGAUGGUGAUUGAUGUACUGGAGAAUGUAGCAUGUAUGAAGAGGGCAGCCAGUCCCCCUGAAUCCCCCCAUCACAGGCUGCCUUGGUUUAAAACAAGGGCCAAUUCCUCAGCUGGGUUGAACCCUGGUGCCCCCCCCCCCCCAGUGUCACACAAAUGAGCCCUUUUCUUAACUGCUAAAUAAAAUAUGUGAGCAGGCAUCUUGCCCAUCAAUGUAUUUCUACACCAUUUGCAAACUCGGCGCUUACCAGCCUGCUAAAUGGUUUUAUAUUUGAUCUUGACCUGUUUUCCAGUUGUUAGUUUGACAUUAUUUGGAGAAAGAUUUUUAGAAUUAAGACACAGCUUAUAGAGAUUUGUGCAUAUGGUUGUAAAACAUAUUCUCCUAUUGUGAAUAAGGGGUUGAAAUGAGUCUUUAGGGUCAAUUUCCAGAGGAAUUAAUUCCCUCUGCUCUCUUUUAAGGCAAAGUAGGAUAAAUAAUAAUACGUUGUAUUUAUAUAGUGCUUUACAUGGUAGGCUGCUCAAAGACACUUUAGGGUAAAACCAGCACAUACACACAGAUACAGAAAUAAAAAGCUGCCAUUUUCCUUUUUUGUUGCAUAUUUUAUGCUUCACCUCCUCGUAUAUUUUCCAUGAUUCGUUGCUGCUCGGCGGGUGAAAAAUAUGCUCCAUUUGUGCAUCAGGACCCCGUGGUCUUCUUCAGAAAGCCGUGAACGUGCACUGAUCCAGCUGUGUCCACCUGGAUUGACUGAGCUCCCCCUUCUCAUCCCGGCUCGGCAGAUGUGCAACUGAUUAAGAUCACACAAGUCAAGUCAGUUAUCCUGGAUUUCUUUAUUCUACUUUUGUGCAACAGCCCCCAGGAUCUUAAAAAACAAAACAUUCCUAACGGAGCGAUUUUGAGUUUUGUGAUCUUUGAGCCAAAUAAAGACGACCUUUUUCUGUUCAUUCUGCUCUUUGAGUCCUCUCUUAAAACGUGGGCCAGACCGCAAAGGACGUAGUUAGCGGACCAAUCGCACCCUUGUGCGCUGCUUCGACGCAAGCCUAGAAAAAUGGGUCGACGCGCGCAAGGAGGUGUGAAAAGACACGCAAGGGACACGCAAGGGACACGCAAGGGACGCGCAGGGGACGCGCAAGGGGGUCUUGCGUCUGCGUCGCUGUGAAAACGCAGAAGCAUAAACUAGGCUUUAGUUGUGGUGCUAUCAAGUAUUACAUGCAUGCAUUGGUAUUAUAUUGAUCACAGUUUCAAAAUUACAGUGUUUUACAAUAUUCUCAUUAGUGUAUUGAUCACAUUGUUCCAGAAUCAUGGCUGUAUUCUGAUGUACACUAAAUGCAUUUUAUUAAUUUAUGAACCGGGUCGUCAGGUUAUUUCUAAUAUCCUACAAUAGAUAUUUUUAACAAAGUUGAACCACAUGGAGGUUUGGUACAAUCAAGAGGGUCUCCUGCUGGUAUCCUCCCAAUGAUUUCACACAAUGCGCUUUACUUUCUUUUACGACUGUGAUUGACUUAUUACAAACUAAGGGAAUGAAAACUAGGUAGAUGGGCUAUUUUAUAAUGUAUAUUUAACAGACAAUUACAUUUUGUGAAAUGUAGACAUGAGUACGACAAUUCAACUCGGACUGUCAAUUGGGGACAAGCUGUUGAAGACAAUGUAAUCUUCCCAGUUGCACCUCGCAUUAGAAAAUGCCGGUUGAUGUUGGUAAUACCGGUUCUGG